UACAGAGGGGGCAAGCGUUGUUCGGAAUUAUUGGGCGUAAAGGGCGCGUAGGCGGCCUGCUAAGUCGAACGUGAAAUCCCUGGGCUCAACCCAGGAACUGCGUCCGAUACUGGUUGGCUUGAAUCCGGGAGAGGGAUGUGGAAUUCCAGGUGUAGCGGUGAAAUGCGUAGAUAUCUGGAGGAACACCGGUGGCGAAGGCGACAUCCUGGACCGGUAUUGACGCUGAGGCGCGAAAGCCAAGGGAGCAAACGGG
rnacentral:rRNA from 1 species